AUUGAACGCUGGCGGCAGGCCUAACACAUGCAAGUCGAGCGGCAGCGGGAAAGUAGCUUGCUACUUUUGCCGGCGAGCGGCGGACGGGUGAGUAAUGCCUGGGAAAUUGCCCAGUCGAGGGGGAUAACAGUUGGAAACGACUGCUAAUACCGCAUACGCCCUACGGGGGAAAGCAGGGGACCUUCGGGCCUUGCGCGAUUGGAUAUGCCCAGGUGGGAUUAGCUAGUUGGUGUGGUAAUGGCUCACCAAGGCGACGAUCCCUAGCUGGUCUGAGAGGAUGAUCAGCCACACUGGAACUGAGACACGGUCCAGACUCCUACGGGAGGCAGCAGUGGGGAAUAUUGCACAAUGGGGGAAACCCUGAUGCAGCCAUGCCGCGUGUGUGAAGAAGGCCUUCGGGUUGUAAAGCACUUUCAGCGAGGAGGAAAGGUCAGUAGCUAAUAUCUGCUGGCUGUGACGUUACUCGCAGAAGAAGCACCGGCUAACUCCGUG
rnacentral:rRNA from 1 species